UCAGUCCGGCUACCAGCUGUUCACGUGGCUUUUCGCACUAUCACAUGUACAGUACGGCACGGAAAUUACCCGGCAUUCAACUGCACUUCCGAGAAGAUUGCAUGAUGGGUACGAUCGAUGCCAAGUCGCCAGUGGAUGAGCGAGCGCAGCGGGUAAUACGAUAAGGGGUUGAAAGCCGCAAACACGCUGCUACACCCUACGACACUCAGAAAACAGUUGCAAAGAUAAGUUACAAACAAACUACACGUAUAUAGAAUCCUACAAAGCACCAGAAAUUUAAUGAUCUCUACUAUUUAACGAUUACUGUAGAAAGACAAACUGCUACAAGUGACAUUGAAAAAAAUGAGUCUUCAGCAUGAACACCAGAGAGUACAUAAUAGGAAAAAGAUUGAGUGUUUUUCUCCAAGAGAAUUAGAUGAUCAUGAACCAAUUGAAUGUGAAGAAAAUUUAGAAAUUCUCUAUCUUACAACAAAUGAAGACAUUAAGAACAGUCAUCAGGAAUUUAUGACUUAUGUAUCAACAUGAAAAAGGAAAUCCAGAACAACUCAGGAAAAAAAAUCAAUUUUUCAGAGAAUCCAAUUAGCAAGCAUAAGGACUUUGCAACCACAUUAAUCCUUUAUUUUUAUAAAUGUGAUACUAUUUAUGGAAUCUCAACUUUAAAAAAUUGUAGCUAUUAAUUACAUAUAAGCUAUUGUCAU